rnacentral:lncRNA from 1 species
UCACCGUAGCCGUGGCCCAGUGGAUAGGGCGCCCGCCUCGGCAACGGAAGGUAGGUGGUUCGAAACCUGCCGCCGGACACCCACCGGUUAAAAGGGGAAGGCGUCCCCCCAAGCCGGCGCCUGGUUGUUUACGGGGUGUGUGAACGCCUGGGGAGAGCGUCCGGCCGCAGCUUACACUAGCAA